GUUGGAAGCUCACAGUCUAGAAGAGGUAGCCGCAGAGAACAGAAGCAUCAGGGAGCCAGGAGACCUCGUGAGAAGCAGUUACUUAAAUUUGGAAGAAUGCUCAAGAGAGAAGAUUAUCUGAUAAUUUGAAGAUGCCCAUAAAGUAUCUUAGAUUAAAAAAAGGAAUUGCUCAACAAGCACAUGAAGAAUGAUCACUGCCAUGAACUGAAACAUUCUGACUUGAUAAAAAAAUAAAAUAUGUGAAUUCACUAUAGAAAAUUCUCAAUAAUUAAGACUCAGAGAGAUACAACAGUAGAUUCACAAACGUCUGGAAACCUAUCACACAAGCCCUCACUCUGGUAGAAACAAGUUGCCAUAUUAUGAGCUGUCCUUGGAGGUGUUCACAUGAGAAGGCACUGAUGACUCUUACCAACAGCCAGCAAGGAUCUGAAGCCCACAAACAAUCAUGUGAGUGAAUUCAGAAAUGGACCCUUCCCCAUGGAAGCCUCAGGAGACUGGAGCCCUGGCCAAUACCUUGUUUGCAGCAUUGCGAGAGACUUCUAGCCUGAGGCAUCCAGCUAAAGGGCACCCAGAUUUUUGACCACCAGAGCCUGUGAUAUCAUUGACAUUUGUGGCUUGAAG
rnacentral:lncRNA from 1 species